rnacentral:rRNA from 1 species
CCUACGGGAGGCAGCAGUGGGGGAUAUUGCACAAUGGGGGAAACCCUGAUGCAGCGACGCCGCGUGGGCGAAGAAGUAUUUCGGUAUGUAAAGCCCUAUCAGCAGGGAAGAAGAAAUGACGGUACCUGAGUAAGAAGCUCCGGCUAACUACGUGCCAGCAGCAGCGGUAAUACGUAGGGGGCAAGCGUUAUCCGGAUUUACUGGGUGUAAAGGGAGCGUAGGCGGCAGUGCAAGGCUGGCGUGAAAGGCGGGGGCUCAACACCCGGACUGCUCUGGAAACUGUACGGCUGGAGUGCAGGAGAGGAAAGUGGAAUUCCUAGUGUAGCGGUGAAAGGCGUAGAUAUCUGGAGGAACAUCAGUGGCGAAGGCGACUAUCUGGCACAUAACUGACGCUGAGGAGCGAAAGCGUGGGUAGCAAACAGGAUUAGAUACCCUUGUAGUC